rnacentral:rRNA from 1 species
AUUGAACGCUGGCGGCAUGCCUUACACAUGCAAGUCGAACGGCAGCACGGGUGCUUGCACCUGGUGGCGAGUGGCGAACGGGUGAGUAAUACAUCGGAACAUGUCCUGUAGUGGGGGAUAGCCCGGCGAAAGCCGGAUUAAUACCGCAUACGAUCUACGGAUGAAAGCGGGGACCUUCGGGCCUCGCGCUAUAGGGUUGGCCGAUGGCUGAUUAGCUAGUUGGUGGGGUAAAGGCCUACCAAGGCGACGAUCAGUAGCUGGUCUGAGAGGACGACCAGCCACACUGGGACUGAGACACGGCCCAGACUCCUACGGGGGGCAGCAGUGGGGAAUUUUGGACAAUGGGCGAAAGCCUGAUCCAGCAAUGCCGCGUGUGUGAAGAAGGCCUUCGGGUUGUAAAGCACUUUUGUCCGGAAAGAAAUCCUUGGCCCUAAUACGGUCGGGGGAUGACGGUACCGGAAGAAUAAGCACCGGCUAACUACGUG